UCUCCUGGAAGCCCAGGGAGGAGAGAAUUGCAGUGAGUGUGCUCUGCAGAGGCAAGCCUUUGUUAGGAGUACGCUGCUGGCAGCAGAGCAUCCUGGACUUCCCUUGAAUGGGGCAACGUGCGGCCUCAGUGUGCUGCCUCCAAUAACAGGGAGUUUAAAAAGCUCUUACAGAAAUGUCCUCCAUUGCUCGCAGCCCUGGAGCAAGGAUGCAGAGAGCAGGCUCAUGAAAGCUGUGGCUGACAUGAAACAGAGGGAAGGCACUCAAGUGACCCAGGGAGCUGUAAAGCACUUAACUUUGGAGCCAUCCUCCGUUGUUUCUAUAUGACUACGUGACCAAAAGCAGAGUGGACGGAUGACAGGGG